ensembl:lncRNA
AGAGAAGUAGCCAUUUCUGAUUUGUGAACGAGUCACUCUUUUCAGUCAGAUAUUUUAAAUGAAUCACUUGAUUUGGUUCAUACAACUGGUCCUGAUGAUUCUGAACAAGUACUCCAGUUUAAAUCACUUACUCAGUGAUUCGCUUGUGGUUCUUUAUUUUAGACUGUAGUGUGGAAUAUGGAGUCAUACGUACUAUUUUGAUACUUUAAUGGCAUUUUGUGUUAUUAAAUUCUUCUAAUUCUAGUUGUUGUUCAUUUGUAAUUAAAUGAAAAACUCUGACCAGUUUGUUCUUUGAUAUGAAUUCUUCUUUAUUCCCAAAAAUAUCAUAUGAAUUGUGAACAGUGUAAAAUGAGUUUUGUUGAAUUUUGAGAUUUUGUGCUUUAAAAGAAAGAUUUUACUUCACCUAUAUAAUUGUUUUAUUCAUUCCAGCAAUGUUAUGUAUAUAUUUUCAAACAGUGCCGCCUAGAGUUCAGAUUCCUAGAGUCAUGAUUUUUAUUAAAGUGAACCCAUCACAUUGCCUAAUACAAACUCAGUUGAUUCUAGUUGAUGUUAAUAUUUAUUCAGUGUCAACUGGAAGGAAAUCCUUCAAGAUUUUGACUGGGUGUUUGGGCUGAGAAAUUGUGCUUUAGACUUCCAUCUAGCGCUGCAGGACAAAGACAGUUAAACUGACUGCAGUUUAAAUCGGAGAGUUGAUUGUCCCUUGUUUAUUCCUUUUUCAGUGUAUGUCUAGCUGUGCAUCAUGGAAAGAAAUAUGUCAAAACUUGAGGCAUCAGCCAAGUACAGGCAUGAAAAUGACUGGAAACACAAGCAAACAAACAAGCAAAGGACAAAGGACCAAAUUCAGAGAAGCAGCUGUUUGGACUCUCAUUCUGACGGCACCCAUUCACUACAGAGGAUCCAUCUGUUUGGUUGAAGAAACAAGCUCACAUAUAUCUUGGAUUACCUGAGGAUGAGUAAAGUUUCAGCAAAUUUGGGGUAAACUAUUCUGCCUUAGAUGAAUAAAAGUAUUUUUUAAAGGAAAAAUAAAAUCUUACUGACUCCAAAAACAAACAACAUUUUCUUUUACUUUUGCCUGUCAUCCAAAAGUCUUUUCUCGUGUACGGUAGUCCCGUCAGAACAAAUAGGUGCAUUACUGCAGUGCAAUUUGGUAAUUUCCCAUCCUUGUACUUUGUGUAUAAUAUUACAAGAUUGUGGAGAGUGAAACUCUAUAAUGCGAUUGCAGUGAUUUAUUUUAUAAUUUUCUGAUUGUAUGUUGUUGUAUCAUUGUUAAAUGUUCCUUGUUUGCACUCUCUCUCUCUCUCUCUCUCAUCCUGUGUCACACUCCAUCGUUCUGUCUCUUGAAGGCGUUUUUUCCUGUGUAUUCAUGAGAUGAUGGUGAUUUUUCAUGAUCAUUCGGACAUUAAAUCUUCGGCACCUCCGCUGAGGCUUCUAUUCCUCCUAUUUUCUCUGGGGUAAUUACUUUCUGUCACUCAGUCUCACCCUCCUCGUAU